CGCCCGGGGACUACAAGCGCCAGCUUCAAACCCAAAGGACUUGGCGGUACUUCAAGCCCACCUAGAGGAGCCUGUUCUAAAACCGAUAACCCCCGCUCAACCUCUCCACCUCUUGUCCCCUCAGCCUAUAUACCGCCGUCGCCAGCUCACCCCCCCCCCCAGGGCCUCUCUCGUGAGCAAGACAGACACAACCUAAGACGUCAGGUCGAGGUGUAGCGUAUGUGGUGGGAAAAAUGGGCUACAUUUCCUAUCUUAGGACACCACGAACGAUGCUAUGAAACUUUCACCCAAAGCCGGAUUUAGCAGUAAGAAGAAAACAGAGUGUUCUCCUGAA
rnacentral:rRNA from 1 species